rfam:Caenorhabditis japonica strain DF5081 Contig4341.2, whole genome shotgun sequence.
GCAGCGGUGGCCUAGUGGUGAGAGCUUGCGGACGCCAAUCUGAAGGUUGUGGGUUCGAUUCCCCUCCGCGGUU